UUCGUUUUUUUUUUUAAUUCAAAGUACAGUAAUUAUUACCACAAACAAAAGAGAAUGGACAAAAUUAGAAUAAAACUGACAAGAAUUAAGUAAAUUAUUUAUACUUUUGAGAUUUUUCUGCUUUGAGGCAAAUGUUGGACAAAGCUGGUUUUGCGAUUAUUGUCAAAACCAUAAUGCUGAUCUCAUUUUGGUGCUGCCUACAAACCAAUAAAUAAUGUUUUUGUAAAGUGGGCUGUAAAAUCUUGAUCAGUUGACCGCAUGUUUUUUCUUUUUUUAAAUAAGGUAAAAUGUCCUGUAUUACAUCGGCGAUUCUCUUUACAAGCCCCACAAAAAGUUCAUUCGGAUACACUAAUCCACCAUGAUCCUGAAGAGUUAUUAAUUUCAAGAGAGGUCCAGGCAUUGUAGUUGACACUAAUGGGGCAAUGCAGUCAUGACAUUGAUUUUUUUUUGUAAUUUCAUUAUUAUAUAUCCAGAUAAAAAGGCUACUGAUGCAGAAUAGAGAUUCAUUUCAGGCAAAAAUAAUUCUUCUACAUCUUCUUCGGCAAAUUCAGCAACUGUUGAUCUUUGAUGGGAGAGUUCAUUGCGGCUGAUGUGACUUAAAGUUCUUGCAGUGUUGGCAGAUGACGAAGAUUUUAGAAUUCCAGUUCUUAAAAUUUGUCGUAAGGCAUAUUCAGCUGCACGAGCGUCAGUAGUAUCAUUUGAGCCUCCUUUUAAACGAAUAUGCGAAAAUGUCGCUUCCACAGCAUCUGAACUAAAUGAGCGAGUUAACACAUAAUAAAA